UACUUGUCUUGAUGUCACACACACCAAUGACUCGAGACUAGUCACUCUCCCUGAGAGAAGACACAGCACGUACCGAUCUUAACGGACUGUCAAUGCCCAAUUGACAAUCCUAUGAUCAGGAACAUUUAGGAUGUGUCUACGAAAGAAUGGUCUCAUGAAUCUAACUUCAUUUAGAUCGCAUUCUCCCAAUCACAUAUUCCUUGGACUUUAUCGUUUAAGCAUAUAACAUUUAUAUGAGACGGCUCAAACAAUAAUCUUUAUCCUUUAUAGUUAAACUAGAUUAGUUUAACAUGUGAAAUGUCCGUAAAGUAUCAUCAUAUGAUUGGCUUUAGGGCACAUUUCCAACAAUCUCCCACUUGCACUAGAGCCAAUCAGCUUGUUCAUCAGUGAUGAUACCUCUUCUGUAGUCAUUUCAUAAAUGGCUGAGUAGUAGGCCUAGACAAUGGAUAUCUAUAUGUUAUCCAUAGAAGCAACCUUGAGAAGAACGACGUCACCAUUAUACAUGAUUCUCAAUCAUGUGGUUCAGUCUCUCAUUUGAGUUCGGAUCUUG
rnacentral:lncRNA from 1 species